rnacentral:rRNA from 1 species
GACGAACGCUGGCGGCGUGCCUAAUACAUGCAAGUCGAACGAAGCUUUUUUAACUGGUGCUUGCACCGACUUAAACAACUGAGUGGCGAACGGGUGAGUAACACGAGGGUAACCCGCCCCAAAGCGGGGGAUAACAUUUGGAAACAGAUGCUAAUACCGCAUAACCACAGAAACCACAUGGUUUCUGUGUCAAAGAUGGUUUCGGCUAUCACUUUGGGAUGGACCCGCGGCGUAUUAGCUAGUUGGUAAGGUAAUGGCUUACCAAGGCAAUGAGACGUAGCCGAACUGAGAGGUUGAUCGGGACCAUUGGGACUGAGACACGGCCCAAACUCCUACGGGAGGCAGCAGUAGGGAAUCUUCCACAAUGGACGAAAGUCUGAUGGAGCAACGCCGCGUGAGUGAAGAAGGUUUUCGGAUCGUAAAACUCUGUUGGUAGAGAAGAACGUUGGUGAGAGUGGAAAGCUCAUCAAGUGACGGUAACUACCCAGAAAGGGACGGCUAACUACGUGCCAGCCGCCGCUGUAA